rnacentral:rRNA from 1 species
UAACGCGAAGAACCUUACCAGGUCUUGACAUCUUGCGCCAACUCUAGAGAUAGGGCGUUUCCUUCGGGAACGCAAUGACAGGUGGUGCAUGGUCGUCGUCAGCUCGUGUCGUGAGAUGUUGGGUUAAGUCCCGCAACGAGCGCAACCCUUGUUACUAGUUGCCAGCAUUAAGUUGGGCACUCUAGUGAGACUGCCGGUGACAAACCGGAGGAAGGUGGGGACGACGUCAGAUCAUCAUGCCCCUUAUGACCUGGGCUACACACGUGCUACAAUGGACGGUACAACGAGUCGCGAACUCGCGAGGGCAAGCAAAUCUCUUAAAACCGUUCUCAGUUCGGACUGCAGGCUGCAACUCGCCUGCACGAAGUCGGAAUCGCUAGUAAUCGCGGAUCAGAAUGCCACGGUGAAUACGUUCCCGGGCCUUGUACACACCGAA